CGGGCGGGCCGCGGCCGGCUUCAGUAGCAUCCUGGCUGCCAUGGUAACCGAUCGGAGCCCCAGUAUUACAUUGCUGGGGCUCCUAUCAGAAGCUUCCACUGCCACCAAUGAGGAGGAGGGGAGGGGACCCUGUGGCCACUGCCACCAAUGAUUUUAAUACUGGGGGGCGCGCACUGCGCCACCAAU